CAUGUGUCUUUCCUACAAAGGCCCAAGAUGUAACAUGCGUUUCCCAAAACGCCACACAGAGAGAACAUUCGCUAAGUGCCUUCGUUGGAGCAUGUUUCACACGGCGGUAGGAUCGAACGAAAGGAUCGAACGAAAGGCAUCGCUGCUCUCGGAUCAGCUUUCUUCCAUUCAAAUCUUACCUUGACAUUAGAAUUAUUCCACAAUACUGACGAUGGAUCAGCUACCUAGAGAUAUUAUCACCUACGGCUGCAAAAUAUUGAGGCGGCUUAAUCUAAUGCCUACCCUAUAACAAUGAGCUUUAUCAAGAUGUGGAACAUCACUGUGCACAUGUUUAAACACAUCAUUAAAUAGAAUGAGGCACAAAUUGCAGACAGGAGCCAAACAGUAAAAUAAAAUCUAAAUUGAAUGAACAUGAAAUUUCUUUCAGUAUCGUCAAAAUACAAUAUAUAUUAUAUUCUGUAGGUGGGCUAUUUAUCUUUUAAUGCCGUUGUCUCAUUUCAUUUGAAGCAUAUUUUUUCCUUCACUUGUUUGUAUUAAUUGGCAACUUUGUAUUUGUACUCAACUUGGUUCUGAAGUUUUCGGCGGUCACAGAGAGAGACGGAUAAACAUCUUGACUCUUUGUUUAGCGGAGGUUUUCUGUGUGUAAAGUGAUGCAGUAGGUAUCUACCGACGUACUUUGCUGUUCACACGCCGAUCAGUCGGAUGCAGUCAGUAAAUAACAAGCGUUUUUCAAGUACAAUUUUAGCAAUGUUGGUUUUGGGAAACAGCUCUUGAGAUUUAACGAUGCUCCUACGAAGUUACUAACGAUGAAAUGAGCCUUUAGAUGCUCUUGGGAACCUGGGCCCUUUUGUUUUGUUUUAUGCUGAAUAGAAACCCAGAUGAGCUCUAUAAGAAGUCCCCUAGAAUAGGACCAGUGUCACUUUAAACCAGUAGAGCUGCAUGGUUACUAUAGCAGGGCUUCAGGUAGAGCUGCAUGGUUACUAUAGCAGGGCUUCAGGUAGAGCUGCAUGGUUACUAUAGCAGGGCUUCAGGUAGAGCUGCAUGGUUACUGUAGCAGGGCUUCAGGUAGAGCUGCAUGGUUACUAUAGCAGGGCUUCAGGUAGAGCUGCAUGGUUACUGUAGCAGGGCUUCAGGUAGAGCUGCAUGGUUACUGUAGCAGGGCUUCAGGUAGAGCUGCAUGGUUACUGUAGCAGGGCUUCAGGUAGAGCUGCAUGGUUACUAUAACAGGGCUUCAGGUAGAGCUGCAUGGUUACUAUAACAGGGCUUCAUGUAGAGCUGCAUGGUUACUAUAGCAGGGCUUCAGGUAGAGCUGCAUGGUUACUAUAACAGGGCUUCAGGUAGAGCUGCAUGGUUACUAUAGCAGGGCUUCAGGUAGAGCUGCAUGGUUACUGUAGCAGGGCUUC